CAGCCGCCACGGGAAAACGGAGGAUCCAAGCGUUAUCCGGAUUUAUUGGGUUUAAAGGGCGCGUAGGCGGCCUAUUAAGUCAGGGGUGAAAGACGGUAGCUCAACUAUCGCAGUGCCUUUGAUACUGAUGGGCUUGAAUGUACUUGAGGUAGGCGGAAUGUGACAAGUAGCGGUGAGAUGCAUAGAUAUGUCACAGAACACCAAUUGCGAAGGCAGCUUACUAAAGUAUGAUUGACGCUGAGGCACGAAAGCGUGGGGAUCAAACAGGAUUAGAUACCCCGGUAGUCCCUGUCUCUUAUAC
rnacentral:rRNA from 1 species